GCAAGUCGAGCGAGACCUUCGGGUCUAGCGGCGGACGGGUUAGUAACGCGUGGGAACGUACCCUUUUCUAAGGAAUAGCCACUGGAAACGGUGAGUAAUGCCUUAUACGCCCUUCGGGGGAAAGAUUUAUCGGAGAAGGAUCGGCCCGCGUUGGAUUAGGUAGUUGGUGGGGUAAUGGCCUACCAUGGCGACGAUGCAUAGCUGGUCUGAGAGGAUGAUC
rnacentral:rRNA from 1 species